rnacentral:misc_RNA from 1 species
CUCUUCAAUUCCUCCUUCUUCUCCUCCUUCUUCUCCUCCUUCGUGAAAAGCUGUAAUUUAUCCAAAAAUGAGUCAGAAUCAAGCUACAGCAUAUCCUCCGGCAUCUAGUGCAGCAGAUGUAUAUGCAGCGCCACCACCUGCUAGUUACCCAACCAAAGAUGGUCAGACUCAGACUCAGUCUCAAAAGCCUGCUCCACUCCAGACCAAAUCCAAGGGUGAUGGCUUCUGGAAAGGAUGCUGCGCAGCCUUAUGUUGUUGCUGUGUCUUGGACGCCUGCUUUUGAAGAAUUGAUGGAAUUAUGAGAGAGUUCUAUUUCAUUUCUACAUUACUUUUAAAAUUUAUAUGCUUUUGUCCAUUUCUUAUUAAAAUAUAUAGAAUAAUGGGACCAUAUGGGUAUAUAUUAUUUUAUACACAUUCUUAUAUUACAUGAAGAUAAG